GCCCGAGUGAUGGAAUUGGCAUACGUACGCGACUCAAAAUCGUGGUUUUGCGAGUUCGAGUCUCGCCUCGGGCACCA
rnacentral:tRNA from 1 species